GCCUUUGAUCGAAUUAAUCAUACGAAAUUAAUUACUAAACUGAGAAAUUACGGCUUCGGUGGAAAUUUACUAAAGUGGUUUCAGUCAUACUUAUCGGAUCGUUGUCAGCGUGUAACGGUACUUGGUUGUACCUCAAACACACUUCCUGUAUCAUCAGGUGUCCCGCAGGGCUCUAUUCUUGGACCAGCGCUAUUUUUGCUGUAUGUCAAC